rnacentral:rRNA from 1 species
UGCCUAGGCGGUCAGAGGCGAUGAAGGACGUGGUAGCCUGCGAAAAGUGUCGGGGAGCUGGCAACAAGCUUUGAUCCGGCAAUAUCCGAAUGGGGAAACCCACUGCUUCGGCAGUAUCCUGCAGUGAAUUCAUAGCUGCUGGAA